rnacentral:rRNA from 1 species
GCUUGCUUCUCUGAUGUUAGCGGCGGACGGGUGAGUAACACGUGGAUAACCUACCUAUAAGACUGGGAUAACUUCGGGAAACCGGAGCUAAUACCGGAUAAUAUUUUGAACCGCAUGGUUCAAAAGUGAAAGACGGUCUUGCUGUCACUUAUAGAUGGAUCCGCGCUGCAUUAGCUAGUUGGUAAGGUAACGGCUUACCAAGGCAACGAUGCAUAGCCGACCUGAGAGGGUGAUCGGCCACACUGGAACUGAGACACGGUCCAGACUCCUACGGGAGGCAGCAGUAGGGAAUCUUCCGCAAUGGGCGAAAGCCUGACGGAGCAACGCCGCGUGAGUGAUGAAGGUCUUCGGAUCGUAAAACUCUGUUAUUAGGGAAGAACAUAUGUGUAAGUAACUGUGCACAUCUUGACGGUACCUAAUCAGAAAGCCACGGCUAACUACGUGCCAGCAGCCGCGGUAAUACGUAGGUGGCAAGCGUUAUCCGGAAUUAUUGGGCGUAAAGCGCGCGUAGGCGGUUUUUUAAGUCUGAUGUGAAAGCCCACGGCUCAACCGUGGAGGGUCAUUGGAAACUGGAAAACUUGAGUGCAGAAGAGGAAAGUGGAAUUCCAUGUGUAGCGGUGAAAUGCGCAGAGAUAUGGAGGAACACCAGUGGCGAAGGCGACUUUCUGGUCUGUAACUGACGCUGAUGUGCGAAAGCGUGGGGAUCAAACAGGAUUAGAUACCCUGGUAGUCCACGCCGUAAACGAUGAGUGCUAAGUGUUAGGGGGUUUCCGCCCCUUAGUGCUGCAGCUAACGCAUUAAGCACUCCGCCUGGGGAGUACGACCGCAAGGUUGAAACUCAAAGGAAUUGACGGGGACCCGCACAAGCGGUGGAGCAUGUGGUUUAAUUCGAAGCAACGCGAAGAACCUUACCAAAUCUUGACAUCCUU